CAACUCUUCUGAAAUAAUCCUGAAGCCUGGCAACCCCUGCUUUGACCAAAGUGAGCUUGGCUAAACAUUCUGCUACCUUCACCAAAAGUCUCCCAGUCUGAUUUUUUAGAACGGCCAGAAGGAAGCCCUUGCUUUUCUCAAGGCCCACUAGGUACUCUGUGCAGAGAAAACUUGGUCAGCAGGAGGCAACUCUAUGGGAACUCCCAGGGCUGGCUGGCUGUAGCUGAGGCCUUUCUGCUUGGAGAUAAGGAAGUAUUUAUUGAUGGAUCAAAGGCUAUAAUUUUAAUGGGACAACUGUGGAUUAAAAGUUUGCUGUACAGCCAAAGGUGGAAAAAGCCAUAAUCUUAGGAACUUUAUGUAAAUCAAGGAGCCUCUGAAGUACCUAAGAGUUUUGGCCAAUCUUACGGUUAUAAAGUCAUCUUAAAACAAGAUUAAACCAGCCAAACAAACAAAAAACCAAAAAACAUAAACCAGCCUCUCUGGGUCCUGGAAUUGAGACAUCUAUAAAACAACUUAGCAAAGAAAAAAAGCAGCAGAGCCACAGGAAACAAGAAAGAGCUAACAGGGAAACUAUAAACCACAGAAAAACUGAAAACAACACAAAAG
rnacentral:lncRNA from 1 species